rnacentral:rRNA from 1 species
GACAGAGGGUGCAAACGUUGUUCGGAAUUACUGGGCGUAAAGCGCGUGUAGGCGGCUGCGCAAGUCGGAUGUGAAAUCCCGUGGCUCAACCACGGAAGUGCACCCGAAACUGCGUAGCUUGAGUCUCGGAGAGGAAGGUGGAAUGCUUGGUGUAGAGGUGAAAUUCGUAGAUAUCAAGCGGAACACCGGUGGCGAAGGCGGCCUUCUGGACGAUGACUGACGCUGAGGAACGAAAGCGUGGGGAGCGAACAGG